rnacentral:rRNA from 1 species
AUUGAACGCUGGCGGCAUGCUUUACACAUGCAAGUCGAACGGGCUUGGGGGCUUGCUCCCAAGUUAGUGGCGAACGGGUGAGUAAUACAUCGGAACGUACCGUGUAGUGGGGGAUAACGUAGCGAAAGUUACGCUAAUACCGCAUACGAUCUACGGAUGAAAGCAGGGGACCUUCGGGCCUUGUGCUAUACGAGCGGCCGAUGUCUGAUUAGCUAGUUGGUGAGGUAAAGGCUCACCAAGGCGACGAUCAGUAGCGGGUCUGAGAGGAUGAUCCGCCACACUGGGACUGAGACACGGCCCAGACUCCUACGGGAGGCAGCAGUGGGGAAUUUUGGACAAUGGGCGCAAGCCUGAUCCAGCCAUGCCGCGUGCGGGAAGAA